UCGACUCGAGUGAAGUGACUCGCCGUGCAUAUCAAAUAGAGUCACUUCACUGAAAAUAAUGUUAUAGUAACUCCAAUCACGACAUUGUUGUUACCACAACUAUUCCGAAAUAUUGUUAAAAUUAAUGGAAUCAUCUUAUUAAUAAAUACAAUGUUGUUCAAAUUACCACGUUAACAAAGCUAUUGCACUGUACUCUUAACUACGUGUUUGUAGUCAAGAGCUACCCUUCUUGAAGUUGACUUGAACACAUGUUCAGUAACAAGCAACAGCAAAUGUUCUUGAUUUUACCAUGCUCAUGGUAAAAAUAAAAACAGAGAACGUGUAAUUUUAACUACUGUGCAUUUAUGUCCAUAAUUCAAGCUCACUCUCAUCGAAUGACGCCGCCAUUUGUGUGCUUUGGUUCAGUUACGAGAAAAACUUAAGGAUUCAGAAUUUGCUGUUGGUUCUUCGGAUCGGCAUUUAUGGUUUGGCAGCUUCAGUGAAUCAUCCACCAGGAGAAUAAGCUGAUGGUGAUUAAAAUCAACGAGCCGGAGUAGUGCUCUUCAAGGCAGACCAUAUUCAAUAUCAGGAGUUCCUGAUCAUACGACAGCCAGUUGCAAAUGAAGGUCAGCCAAGCAUCAGUGUCGGUGACCAUGGUUAACAGACCGCCUUAUCAAUGCUCUUCGGAUCUCCUUGACCAAUUCUUAGAUCGACGCGUCUUCGCACCACCGAAAGUCCUAAGUCACACCGUAACAUCGAUAUCGUCCGUCGUAUUUCAUUCCCUGACCUACACAAAUUGGCAAAUAAGUAUGCAUCAUGCGUAGACCUUAGCAUCGGAAUUGAUGAAUUUCAAUAAAAUUAGCUCCAAUUAAA